GAAGGAGGGCGCGCCGGCGGCGGCGCCGCACUUACCGCGCUCGGCUCGCCCGCGCCGCCGGCUCGCUACCCGGCCGCAGCCGCCGCGUCCACCCGAGCAGCGCGCACACACAGCACUUGGCCAAAUUCAAAGGAGCCGGGCGCGGGGGAGGGGGCCCCGCCGAGGGAGCGGAGCGUGGGAGCUGGGGGAGGGGGGCCGGGAGGGGGAGAGGACAGCAAGUGUUACAACUUCCUUCCCUGCCCACCGCCCGGCCGCGGCGGGCGAGGGACGCGGCGAGGGGAGGGCAGCGCGCGCCGGAGCGCCAAUGAGUUCACUUUCUUUUCCUCCCCCGCGCUCUCCCCCUCUCCCUUCCCGCCGGCCCCCUGGAAGCCUCCGGCUCGGCCGGAGAGGCCGGGCCGGAGUUUUCGGUUUUCGGCGGGGGGAGCCGGAGGACGGCUGGCGGCGAGGGAGGAGGAAGAGGGAGCGGGAAAGAUCGCGGGAGAGCCCAAUCACGGGGCGAGCUGGACCGGGCUGUGAUCAUUUAUAAUCCUGGACUCCUCCGCUCCGCCACUUGUCAAGAUGACAGGUACUUUAUUUCUUCUUCUUCUUAAUUCAAAAAAAAAAAAAAAAAAAAAAAAGAGAUUCCCCGUUUACUGCCUUUUUCUGUCAAAUGGGAUUUGCCGGACUGAACCACGUUCGCCGCCCCUCCCUUCUCCCCUCCUCCAGGCCGCGUCGGGUACGGGAAAGCUCCGAGGCUCCCAUGCUGUGACCAAUCAGUGCCUCUACUACUCUUGCCGUGAUUUAGGGGUCAUCCAUGAAUAACACUUCACGCUGAUGAAUGGCUCUUGCAGGCUUUCGGCUCUGAUGAGGGGUCUGCCCGCCGCUGAUUGCAAACAGUAAUGAACUCCCAGCGCCAUUUGAAAUUCACACGCACCUACAAAGUGCGGGGGGUGGGCAUUUCAGGUCAGCUGAGUCACCCGAGGAGGUAGGAGUGCAAGACACUGCCGGGAAGAUGGAUUCCGAGGCAGAAGGGUGUAAUUAAGGAUUUCCACUCCCGGUAGGCGGCCCGUCCUUUACAAGAGGAUCUGAAAAUGACCUGCGCCUUCCCCUCCAGAGUGUCCUCUCGUCCCAGACUGAAAAGCGCAAAUGACCUUCGCACGCGAGAAGGGGUUAUACACGAGCCCCAACUCGGCACCGGCGGCGGAGAACAAGUGUCCGCCCUGUGGUUCAAGCACCAAGACCGCCCCAACAAGCGCGCGCUGGCCGGUGGGGACGGAUUCUGGAGUCCUCCAAAGGCUCCACGCCCCGCAUUCUCCGACGCCGCCCCCCUCCCCAGUUCUCCCCUGCUUCCACUCUGUGUGAUGUGGGAGGAAAAUAAAAGUUUACUGCUCUCCAGGAGACACUGUC